rnacentral:rRNA from 1 species
UACGUAGGCAGCAAGCGUUGUUCGGAGUUACUGGGCGUAAAGGGUGUGUAGGCGGUUGUUUAAGUUUGGUGUGAAAUCUCCCGGCUCAACUGGGAGGGUGCGCCGAAUACUGAAUGACUAGAGUGCGGGAGAGGAAAGUGGAAUUCCUGGUGUAACGGUGAAAUGCGUAGAUAUCAGGAGGAACACCGGUGGUGUAGACGGCUUUCUGGACCGUAACUGACGCUGAGACACGAAAGCGUGGGUAGCAAACAGG